rnacentral:lncRNA from 12 species
AGUAGUUCUUGUUCUUUGAAUUUAAGUUGUGAGUAACACAAAAGCAAAAGCCAAUGUUAUUCUUAGGUGGAUGACUUUCUUUGUGGGUUGCAGUUUUCUUGUAGUUGCAUGCAUGGAUUAGAUGCAUGUCGUCAGAAAUAGCUUGUAAAAGGUGAUAUGCCACAACACCAAAGAGUUUUUAGGUUUCCGCUGAACCUCUGNUCAGUUCAGAAAGACUCAAGCGCAGUGCAGCUGAGACAUGAUGAACCUGACGCUCAGUCUGAUUUGAGUAAGAAUGAGCGGCCGGACAUUAAAGUCAUCUAUGAUUCUGAAAAGAGUGAAUUUAGAAUUCUUUGUGACAUACCAGGAUCAGAUGAUGGUGGUUAUACUUGUUUUCUUUCUCUUGGAGAUGAAUAUCCACAUUUUAAAAAGAUGCAAUCUCAUGAACUGUCUGGAAAAACACAGUGUCGUUUUACAGUCUUGGAAUAUGAAUUUUCAAAUAAACUGAAAUCAGUGGAGAAUAAAGUAGUGAGCUGCAGUUAUUCUCCAAAAAAUGCAUCAUCCAAACGAUCAUAUAGUGAGAAGUACAACCUUACAGCUUUUUUUCCUGUGAAAAUUCAGUCACCACCUACAACAAAGGGAUCAUUAUCAACUCUGGCUACAGAAUCCAGUACUUGUUAUGAGACCACAAUAAACCCUACAACUGAAACUACUCAUCCUUUACAACCUCUCAACGUCACAUGGAACACAACAGGGGUUCUCAAAGUCGCAGCUGCUGGUGAAAAUGCUGUCCAUAGAACACCAAGAACAAAAACAUUGCUCAUCCUGACACUGGCAGCCACAAGCGGAGGGAUUUUCCUGACCGGACUCAUGGGCAUCUGUCUGUGCUACAUCAGACUGAAACCAAGGAAGAAGAGGUAAGACUUUUCUAGUGCACAUGCUGUUAGUGUCAAAACCAUAAAAAUAUAAAUAAUUUUUGUUUCUUAUUAUUUUAAGCCCUGUAAAUACAUCUGUAGCAGCCAUUCCCCAGACCUCAGGUAAAUCAUAAUUGUUUAAACUAAUUAUUAUGUAAUGCAUAUUAUGAGUAGGUUAUGUACAUGCUUAAUGAGAACAAAUAAAAUAUUGUGAUAAAAUAAUAAAAUAUCAUUAUAAAAUGUAUUUUUAAUGUAUCAGAUGAUAUUGGCGCCAAUGAGGAACGUUCUGAAGAAAAUGGGGUGAGUAUAAAGACCUGUGACAGAGACCUUCCAAUGUUUACAGCCACCACCUUAUUUAUUUACUUCUCUUUUAUUUCUGCACAUAUUGUAUAUUUAUCUACUUUCUUUGCACUACAGAUGAAACUGUACCACGUGUACUGCACCAUCCCUGAUGUCGCUGCAGACUCUCAUGUGAUAUACAGUCUGGCACAAAUGCCAAACCAUCCUCCGCCAGUUUAAGAGUUUAUCAUUAUAUUAUAAUAAUUAAACUAAUUGACAUUAAAAGAGAAUGUGGAAGUUUCACUUUCAAUCAAACUAUUUGGUUUUUCUAAUAAUCAAAAACAAAAAGCAAUGCCAGAAAAAGUGAUGUAAGAUAUUAUUGGUCAAAUGGCAUGCACAUUUUAACUUGACCACUGCUGUGCAAUACAAAAAAAAAAAAAAAAAACACUUACUGUUUUGUGUGACAUUUUCAGUGGUUUUACUGUAUGUUUGUGGUCAGUAUUUAGGACACACUGUUGCACAUGCAUACCCAGCCUCUCACUUCUCCUCAGCCAAGUGAGAAUCUGAUUUAAAACAAACAUUUUUGCCACAUGGUUUUAGUCAUUACAUCCUUGUAUUUGUGCAUUGUUGUUUUUGUCAAAGCCAAAGGUCAUUAAACAUCAUUCCAUUACUCAAACAUUACAAAGAUGCCCCCCCCCAAAAAAAAAAAAUAGGGUUAUUCAAACAAAACACAUAGUUUUUACAAAAAGUUUUACAUUUUCAUUUAAUCAACCAAAAUACCACAUUAUUAAAAGAACAAUAGAAAAAACUAAAUAACUAAGAUAUAGUAUUACAUAUUCACUCUUUGUAUCACUAUCAAUUCAGCUCUGUAUAAUGGUUUAGUCCUAUGGUAAGUGAUCUCUGUUGUUUUAUAUCUUAUGUGAAGUUUCACCAUGAAAUUAGGUAGACCCCUUUUUCUGCCUCCUUUCAAAUUUCAAUAAACUGUAAGUGUACAUCUUUCUUUAACCAUUAUACAUAAAGCCUAUAAUUGCAUUGUUAACUUACUAUAACAGAACAGUUGAGUUAACCAGUUCUCUGUGCAAUCUGAUUCAUAACUCUGACUUAAAACUAAUGGAAACUAACUGGAAAAUUAAUACUGUUUUAAAGCAGCUGAGUUACUAAUUUGUUUGUGAUGUCAUGUAGUGUGAACUAUAGUCGCUGUUUUAUUCUGCAGAGUGCAGACCCACAGCUUGCAAGACUAAAAAGCAAAAUGUUGCAUGAAUUAAAAGCAAACCAUGCCACGACAUUCCCACUGUGAUGAUCAAUUUCUUGUAUGUAUAAUAACCACACUCUAAAUAACAUAACUGAAAUAGUGACACUGGUAAGAUGAAUUUACAAUGAAAUAAAAAUACAUUUUGAAAACUCUGUAUAUAAAGGAAUUGAUCUGCAUGUAAACUGAUUAUGUUGUUGUUGUAUUUCCAAACUAGUAUUUGAUUUAAAAUUGUGAUAUCUAGGCCUGGAAAUGAGUUCAUGUAUAAGCAUCCUUGUAAUGUUGUUGAAACCUCUUUUCGGUUUCAACAGCGACCUCUACUGUUGAAGCUUUGACAACUGCCACAGGAACUUGUGAGUGACCAUAAUUUUUAUUUUCCUCAUUUCCACUGAUAGUUGUCAAAGCCUUAACUCCUGGUACAACUGCUGUUAUUGGACGUUAGUAUUACCAAUGAUCUGAAAUGAAUCAGUCAAUAAUAACUGAAAACUUUGCAUAUGAUGAUCAGUCGAUCUGAUUUCUUGGUGGCAGAAAGAAAUGUGUCUCAUCAUAAAACAGGUGGCCACCAGCAGGGGGAUUUUCACUGCAGAAAGCAAUAUUAUGGAUGGAGAAUGGAGGCCAGAAACAAUGGUUUUAAGUUAAAAACCUGGAGUGGUGUGGAUUAAUGUGAUGUUUAAUCAGCUGUUUGGACUCAUUCUGAUGGCACCCAUUCACUGCAGAGGCUCCAAUGGUGAGCAAGUGAUGAAAUACUACAUUUCUCCAAAUCUUUUCCCAUGAAGAAACAAACUCUUCUAUAUUUUGGAUGGACUGAGGGUGAGUAAAUUUUCAUUUUGAACUAUUUCUUUAAACUUACUGUCAUUUAAAGAAAAUGUGAUCUCUCUUAAAAAAUUUUUUAUUAUUUUUUAUUAGUAUUGUUUAUUUGUAUAUUAUCAUCAAGUUGCAAAGUGAUGGCCUGUUUCCUGUAUAUUAUAUUAUAUUAUAUUAUAUACAGAACACAGAUAAUAGAACUUAUUAUCAGAGAUAAAUCUGGAUAGCUGUAGAUCUUUUUAGUAGUUAUACCACUAUACGAUUGUCAGUAGAUUAACUGAACAUUAUAACAUCAUAACAAUUUUAUCAUAUAUUCUAGUGCAUGCUUUAUGAUACACAUGCGAAAUUGCAUACGUUAUUAAGUGUAGUCUUAUAUCUACACUUUCACCUACGUAAAAAGUACACUAUAAGGUUUCCUGUGGUCUGGUCUACCGCUUCCUAAUUCACCC